UUGUUGAAUCUGAGUGUGUUUACUGAGGAGAACACAAGCCAGCCAGCUAGCAGCAACUUUAUAACUCAGGUCAAGAACUGCUGCGCUGUGUUCACACACCUUUCAGGAAGACACAACUCUGUAAUAAUCAAGGGUUUUAUCUCCGAUGUGUCCAUUUGUCAACUGGACCUCCAAAGGCGAGUUCAUUUGAGGUCAGACAGGACAUUUAAGAGGAUGCAGGCAGCUCACCACAGAGGAAACUCGGCUCCAGAGAGGAACUGUACCCCUCCCUCCCACUGCUGAGGAGAACACAAGCCAGCCAGCUAGCAGAAACCUUAAUUCAGGUCAAGCACUGCUCUGCUGUGUUCACACAGCUUCCAGGAAGACACAACUCUGGCCAUAUAAGAGGAGGCAGGCAGCUCACCACAGAGGAAACUCGGCUCCAGAGAGGAACUGUACCCCUCCCUCCCACUGCUGAGGAGAACACAAGCCAGCCAGCUAGCAGAAACCUUAACUCAGGUCAAGCACUGCUCUGCUGUGACACAGACUUGAUAGAGGAUGGAGUAAAUGGAUAAGGCGGAUAUAUUGUAGGUCAUGCUGCUUCCUACUUCCUGUUCUCCCAGGGAAAUCAUGUCUCUGCCUGCUGUGAUGUCUAUAGAGAGGGUCAAAACAACACUGACCUGUUUUUAUUUGGGAUUCCUCUCUUCCAUGUAAAACAACUCAUGUAAAGUCUAUUGUUGGAAGUCAAGUGACCUCGCUCUGUGCUCUGCACAAUCUUGUUUCUUUGAUAUGAUAACGUUAUUUGAUCAGUGUUUUCUUCUAACAUGAAUUGAUUAUUGUUCAAUUUCUUUCAAAUGUAACAUUUACAAUUGCUGUUAUGAACCAUCUUUGUCAUGAUAACACAUAUCCCCACCAACCAAGGUGAUCAUGGUUAUUUUGAAAAUAAAUCCAAAAACCAUUCAAAGAAAA